GAAAAAUGGAUUUUUAUUGAAGGAUCCUAAAUAAAACGAGACAAUAAUAUACACAACCCAUUGAAGAUCAGUAUGAAGGGACCACUCAACAACCUGUUAUCUUGUACCUGAACAACUACAAAAACUAGAGUAAAGAAUGUCUCAACGGGCAGUGUGAGUAGAGUUAUGUUAACAGUGAAAGGAUGCUGCUCAUGAUCUUCUUCAGCUCAUACAUGUAUGUUCUCACUACAUAAUCCAGUACAACUUAAAUAGGCGCCGAGGCAUGAAGCUUCUCUUGAAGUUUCUGUGCUACAGCAUCAAUAAAUUCUUCAGUGUUCAAGUAGAAUUCUCUUGACACCUUGGGUCCGUGAGCUAAUAUAGCUAAGUCCUUAGUCAUCUUCCCGGACUCUAUUGUCCCAAUGCAAGAAGCUUCAAGGGUGUGAACAAAUUCCAACAACUUUUGAUUCCCAUCAAGCUGAGCCCUAUGUCCAAGUCCCCUUGUCCAUGCAAAAAUGGAAGCAACACUGUUUGUACUAGUUUCUUGACCCUUUUGAUGCAGCCGAAAAUGUCUUGUUACAGUGCCGUGAGCUGCUUCAGCUUCUAAUGUCUUGCCAUCAGAAGAUAACAAUACAGAAGUCAUGAGGCCCAGAGAACCAAAUCCUUGAGCGAGCAGAUCACUCUGGACAUCUCCAUCAUAGUUCUUGCA
rnacentral:misc_RNA from 1 species